GACCAAGAAGUCUAACAUGUGUGCGAGUCAUUGGGUAUAUUGUUGAAACCUAAGGGCGCAAUUAAAAUAACUAUUUUAUGGGAUUACAAGUGGAUUAAAUUUCAUUUCUUCAUCCCGGGGCGUUCUAUACGAACAUGGUUUAAGCAAUUGAAUCCUCUGUUCAAGAGCGUACCUUGAGCAUACAUGCUGUGACCCGAAAGAUGGUGAACUAUACCUGAUCAGAUCGAAGCCAGGAGAAAUUCUGGUGGAGGAUCGAAACAGUUCUGACGUGCAAAUCGAUUGUCAGAAUUGGGUAUAGGGGCGAAAGACCAAUCGAACCAUCUAGUAGCUGGUUCCCUCCGAAGUUUCCCUCAGGAUAGCUGGCGCAAAGAAUUAUAUUGUAUAUAAUCUUAUCUGGUAAAGCGAAUGAUUAGAGGCCUUGGGGCCGAAACGACCUCAACCUAUUCUCAAACUUUAAAUGGGUAAGAACCUCAUCUUUCUUGAUCUGAAGAUAUUGGGGUUUAGAUAUAUUGUGCCCAGUGGGCCACUUUUGGUAAGCAGAACUGGCGCUGUGGGAUGAACCAAACAUGAUGUUACGGCGCCUAAAUUAAUGACUCAUAUUGAUACCAUGAAAGGCGUUGGUUGCUUAAAACAGCAGGACGGUGGACAUGGAAGUCGUAAUCCGCUAAGGAGUGUGUAACAACUCACCUGCCGAAGCAACUAGCCCUUAAAAUGGAUGGCGCUCAAGUCAUAUGCCUAUACAUCAUCGCUAGAAUAAAAAUUGUUGGCCGUUCGGUCAUCAAUGUGAAAUUCUAGUGAGUAGGAGGGUACAAUGGUGUGCGCAGAAGUGUUUGGCGUGAGCCUGCAUGAAGCCGCCAUUGGCACAGAUCUUGGUGGUAGUAGCAAAUAAUCGAAUGAGAUCUUGGAGGACUGAAGUGGAGAAGGGUUUCGUGUGAACAGUGGUUGAUCACGAGUUAGUCGGUCCUAAGCUUUAUGCGAAAGCUGUUUAAUUUAUGUUACACACAAUUUUUUUUUUGUUGUACAUAAUUCAAUAAAAGCGAAAGGGAAUACGGUUCCAAUUCCGUAACCUGUUGAGUAUACGUUUGUUUAUUAAAAAUGGGUCUUAUUACACUCAUCCUGGCAACAGGAACGACCAUAGAGAAGCCUUCGAGAGAUACUGGAAGAGUUUUCUUUUCUGCUAAACAAGCGUACCACCAUGGAAGUCUUUUAUAGAGAGAUAUGGUGGAUGGCUUGGAAGAGCAUGACAUUUACUGUUGUGUCAGUAUUUUCUCCUUGGACCUUGAAAAUCUAUGGUGGGGCCACGCAAACUUCUCAACAGACCGUACCGAUAUCCGCAG
rnacentral:rRNA from 1 species